rnacentral:rRNA from 1 species
UGGGGAAUAUUGCACAAUGGAGGGAACUCUGAUGCAGCGACGCCGCGUGAACGAAGAAGGCUUUCGAGUCGUAAAGUUCUUUUAUAUGGGAAGAUAAUGACGGUACCAUAAGAAGAAGCCCCGGCUAACUACGUGCCAGCAGCCGCGGUAAUACGUAGGGGGCUAGCGUUGUCCGGAAUCACUGGGCGUAAAGGGUUCGCAGGCGGAAAUGCAAGUCAGUUGUAAAAGGCAGUAGCUUAACUACUGUAAGCAUUUGAAACUGCAUAUCUUGAGAAGAGUAGAGGUAAGUGGAAUUUUUAGUGUAGCGGUGAAAUGCGUAGAUAUUAAAAAGAAUACCGGUGGCGAAGGCGACUUACUGGGCUCAUUCUGACGCUGAGGAACGAAAGCGUGGGUAGCAAACAGG